CAUUUCUAAAUGACUUGAAGCUCUGUCACGGCAUAAUCUCUUAUAAAUAAAUGUCAGUGUAGUCACUGAAUGCAGACUGGAUUUUUGCCUGACUACGGUGCUCAGCCUUCUAGACAAUAGUUAUGCUAAGGGAUUAUCUUUUAACAUUGUGCAGUUAUCUCCUUUGUUUGUUUUCUUUUUUCAUUAUUCACAUAAGCCAAGGGAAAUGAAAAGCAUCUUAUUUCAGGCAAAAAGGCCUGUGAAUGAUUAACUCUGGUUCCAUGCGUUGGGACUUUGCAUAGCAACCCCGUGGCUUGCAACGACAAAAAAGCUCAAGGCAGGAACAGCAGCCCAGGGACCUGAGACCAGCGUUCUCAAAUGAAGGUGCCAGAUCUGCUGUUAGAGGAGAAUUCUUCUGUCCUAGCUGUGUCUCUGUGAUCUGUGGAUGAGGGUGGGAAAGCACCACUCAGUCAAUUGGGGUGUACAAAAUGGAGUUUGAGAAGGUCUCACAUCCAGGUUGUUUUGAAGCAAAGUCCAAGCAUUGUAUCACUUCAUCUGCAAAUAUUUCAAUAAGUACCCAAAAGUGGUUGGACUGAGUCCCAUGAAGCCAGAUCACUUCUGACUGCAAGGAGCUUGGAAAAGCAAGUAUCUGGAUCUUUUACCAGCUAAAUUUGGAGAAUUAUUGAUCAAAUUUGGAUCUCUGUGUGCUGUCCUCCAAUUUAAUACUUUCUGUGUUGCUGUUUUAUUUUCUUUCUUCUGGAACCUGGCAAAGUGCGUCAAGCGAUGAGGCUUCCUCUUUGAAGAUCACAGGUGAGAAGAUUAGGUGCUUUCUCAGAAGCCCAGCAACCUGAUGGGAGUGUGGAGUGAGCAAGACCCAAAUCGGAGCUUCAUCCCUGCAUGGUUCAUUUUGCUUAUUUGGCAAACUUGCCCUGCAGAAUCUACUCAAGCUUCCUCAGUUUCUCAAAUCAUUCUUGGGCAACAAAUGAACAAGAAAGAGGACGUCUUAUUAUCUGGUGUCUGGCUUGCUGAUUUAAUAACCUAGGAGACAGUGUUUGAAGAACACAAACUCUAAAGUCCUUCACUUAAAAAAAAAAAAAAACUUUCCCAAAUUGCUUACCAUUUGGAAAAAUUGCCUUACCUUCUUCAGUCAUCUCUGAUGUUGUCAUCCUCAGAGUAAGAAGUACGCAUUCAUAAGGAACCAUAACGUCCUUCAGGAAAUCCAGUACACCCUACAAUUUUACCUAAAACUUUGAUGUUGUUUUUUCUGAGCAUUUUACCUUCUAGGGAAAUGGAUCUCAUGCUGUUUAUCAGUUUCUGAAAGUUGUUAUUAAUCUCCCCUCAUCCCAAAAUUGAAGAACUUUGCUUAAAUCUUAGAAUCAGAACUUUGGCUCCAGUAAUAAAGACUUUUCAAUAUCUUUAUCUGCCAUUGAGUCUUACCUAACGAAAUAAAGCCUCCAAAGUGGGAAUUUGAAAUGUUUUAGAAUCUUUUUUUUUCCUUUUGACAUAGUGAUUGGUGGGAUGCUACAGGCAGUUAGUGGUUAGGGUCCAGAAAUGCCAGACAUCUUGCAGUGAGAGGGAUAGUCUGUACAAGGAAGAAUUCUCACAUGUUCUGACUAACACUGGAUAUUAUUACAGGUGAAAACAUUGGAAUCUUGUGAACCUCAACCUGUGUUUUACAUAUGUAUACAUGAAGCAUCCAAUGGCAUUACACCUCAGCCAGAGAAGAAGCUCUUAAGAGAUCAGGUGCCUCAUUUCACCCAUGGGCUGCUCCAGCAUUUCCAGCCUCCUCACUCCUGACACAUACAGAUUGAGAAAUUAAGGUCGCAUCAUAUAAGUGAAGUUGAACACUACUUUUCUAAUACCCUACAUCAGGUACGUUCCUAAAUAAACUGGAACUUACCUCAGAAGCCUCAGAAAAUUAGGAAAAUAAAAUGCAUUACUUUGUAUAUUAAGAAGCUCAAAAUCCCAUAUUUGAUUCACUAUAGAAUUACUUCAGAAUCUCAUAUGUUGUUUAAGCAAAACCUGUCUCAUAUUAAAACAUACCUACUGCUGUGUUGUCUAUUUGCUUUUCUCUUUUUAAAUGCCCUUUUGAGAAAUGCUGCAAAAAUUUUGUCCUGACAUGUGGGGGCCCAACUGUUUCCUGCUAUACUCAGCUUGGAGGACAUAGCCUCUAGGUUAUACUCUUUUGAAAUUGUCCUGUUGAAAUGCAUGUUUUGAUUUUGGGAUUUUCCAGAUGCUUCCUAAGUAGGUCCCAUGUGUUAAAACUUGUGGAAAUUCAGCAUGUUUCUCAAUGUGAGGCAUCUAAGUAGUUCACAAAUUUAAGGCAAUUAGUCUAUUACUGGGAUAAGACGAUUAAUUCUAUUAUAUUCCAUUGUUUACAUAUUACUUGUUUAAUCCAUUUCCUAUUCUAUGCUUUGUUUUUUCAUUUGUCUGAAUUAUUAAAAGUCACUACAUUUUAACAUUUUAAGCAAUUUAAUUUUUAUAUAUAAUUAUAUCCUUUGGCUAUUUAAACUGAAGACACAUUGUAUAUGUAAAUCAAAUUAAGAAAAAUAAAUGGAGAGUGUGUUCACUUACAACAGGAGGCUAUCGCUGUGCUAAAACUUUCUGCUGCUUUUGAGUCUUGGAAUUGUGGAAUCACAUAAUAUUUAAAAAAAUUAGAAAGAACUUUAAAUACCAUGUCCACAGACUUUCUCACUUUUCCAAUGAGAAAACUGAGACCAAGAAUGUUUAACAGACAGGUAAUGCCUGAAUUAGUCCUAGAAUCCAGAUUUCCUUAUUAUUUACAUGAAGUCCAGAAACAUACCAUAUGUAUUAAAUACAAUGGUUUCAAACAUUAAUGAAGUUUGAUUCUGAAAUGUGGGAGGGUUCAUAUAAGUCUAAAAUUUUAGUCUGCUUAAGUAUCCAAGUUUCUUGUUGUCUUAAAAUUUCUUAUUGGAGGAAGCCACUUUUCAGUCACUUUGAUAGGCAC
rnacentral:lncRNA from 10 species